GCCGGAGUGGCGGAACGGCAGACGCAGGGGACUUAAAAUCCUCCGCUCCUCUUGGGGGCGUGCGGGUUCGAAUCCCGCCUCCGGCACCA
rnacentral:tRNA from 2 species